UUUUGUUUGCAAGUGUGUCAUGUGUGGAGAAGAACCUCCUAGCUAGCCUUCCAUCCAUUCAAUUUACUCAAAUUUGUGCAGAUUUCAUUAGUUCUUUAAUUUACUUGUUUUGUUUUCAAAUUCGUCAAAACCAAAACCCCCUUUACCUUGUUGAGUCAUAUUAGUUAGAAACUGAUUUAGUUUGUGUUUCUAAGUAUUUCGAACCAAGUUAAAACCAAAAUUCAUCCAAAAGUGUGUUUAGAGUCCAAAUCUGCCCAGUUUGUGUUUUUAGGCAGAUUUGAGCGUUUUUUAGCUUGUUUUGAGUUCUUUGAGUUUGUUUUGAAUUCUUUGAGUUUGUUUUGAAUUCUUUGAGUCUAGUUUAGUGUUUUUAACUUUGUUUAUAUGUUUUUAAGUCAGUUUAGAGGUUAUUAGCAAGCCCUCCUAAUCCCCGGUCCAGAACGAUCCAUACUUACAUUCUUUACUACAAUUGAUACAAGAGGGUUUAAUUUGUGUGUUAAGUAAAUUUUCGCACCAUCCAUCGUACAUUUGGUACAUCCAUUUUUGUAGGCGUAUU
rnacentral:lncRNA from 1 species